AACGCACAUUGCGCCCGCUAGUAUUCUGGCGGGCAUGCCUGUCUGAGCGUCAUUUCAACCCUCGCGCCCGGCUUUGCUGCCGGAUGCGGUGUUGGGGAUCGGCCUGCAGCCGCCUAGCGGAUCGGGCCGGCCCUGAAAUACAGUGGCGAUCGCGUUGUAACCUCCUCUGCGUAGUAACUCCUUACAGGGCCUCGCAGGCGGAGAGCGGUGCGGUCACGCCGUAAAACCCCCAAACUUUUUACAAGGUUGACCUCAGAUCAGGUAGGAAUACCCGCUGAACUUAA
rnacentral:misc_RNA from 1 species